UACGUAGGGCGCAAGCGUUGUCCGGAAUUAUUGGGCGUAAAGAGCUCGUAGGCGGUUUGUCGCGUCUGCUGUGAAAGCCCGGGGCUCAACCCCGGGUCUGCAGUGGGUACGGGCAGACUAGAGUGCAGUAGGGGAGACUGGAAUUCCUGGGUGUAGCGGUGAAAUGCGCAGAGUAUCAGGAGGAACACCGAUGGCGAAGGCAGGUCUCGUGGGCUGAGUUACCUGACAGCUGAG
rnacentral:rRNA from 1 species